GUCGCGGCCCCAUUGCGAGCCAUGGGAGGCGGCUGGUGGUGGGCUCGGGUCGCGCGCCUGGCCCGCCUGCGCUUCCGGGGGUCUCUGCAGCCUCCUCAGCGGCCCCGCAGCGGGGGCGCGCGCGGGUCCUUCGCCCCGGGCCACGGGCCACGCGCGGGAGCGUCGCCGCCUCCAGUGUCCGAGCUGGAUCGCGCGGACGCUUGGCUCCUCCGCAAGGCACAUGAGACAGGGUGAGAGGGGAUCUAGGAAGCAGGGCUUGCUGAUGCAGAGCUCCAUCCCCCAACUCCCCGCAGCUUUUCUCUCCUGGUUCCGAAAUGGACUUCUGUCAUCCGGCAUUGGGGUCAUCUCCUUCAUGCAGAGUGACAUGGGCCGGGAAGCUGCCUAUGGCUUCUUCCUGCUGGGUGGCCUGUGCGUGGUGUGGGGCGGAGCCUCCUAUGCGGUGGGUCUGGCAGCGCUGCGGGGACCCAUGCAACUGUCGCUUGCUGGUGCUGCCGCUGGUGUGGGGGCAGUGUUGGCUGCCAGUCUGCUCUGGGCUUGUGCAGUAGGUCUCUACAUGGGCCAGUUGGAACUGGACGUGGAACUGGUGCCUGAGGAUGAUGGGGCAGCCAGUACAGAAGGCCCAGAUGAAGCGGGCAGGCCACCCCCUGAGUAAACAACAGGGCUGUGGGGACUGGCUGGGCCUGACGACUGGGACAUUAAAACCUGACCCUUCCGCA